UCACUUGCAGGAGCCCCAUGA
rnacentral:miRNA from 1 species